AUUGAACGCUGGCGGGAUGCCUUACACAUGCAAGUCGAACGGUAACGCGGGGCAACCUGGCGACGAGUGGCGAACGGGUGAGUAAUGCAUCGGAACGUGCCCAGAAGUGGGGGAUAGCCCGGCGAAAGCCGGAUUAAUACCGCAUGAGACCUGAGGGUGAAAGCGGGGGAUCGCAAGACCUCGCGCUUUUGGAGCGGCCGAUGUCAGAUUAGCUAGUUGGUGGGGUAAAGGCCUACCAAGGCGACGAUCUGUAGCUGGUCUGAGAGGACGACCAGCCACACUGGGACUGAGACACGGCCCAGACUCCUACGGGAGGCAGCAGUGGGGAAUUUUGGACAAUGGGCGCAAGCCUGAUCCAGCCAUGCCGCGUGCGGGAAGAAGGCCUUCGGGUUGUAAACCGCUUUUGUCAGGGAAGAAACGCUCUGGGCUAAUACCCUGGGGUAAUGACGGUACCUGAAGAAUAAGCACCGGCUAACUACGU
rnacentral:rRNA from 1 species